AGAAUUUUAAUAAAUGGAUAUUUGUACAACUUUUAUGUUUUAGAAAUUAACAAUUAGAUAUUAUAUGAUACUUUAAUUUUCGCGCGGUUUUGUAAAUAAGGAACCUCGCCGCUACAGCCAAUUAAAAUGCCCCUAGACGAACUAUGAUGCGUCAUUCUUCAGUGGGAAAUUAUCGUGAGUGCUACGCAUCGCUUCGGUUGCUCGAUUACGCGAUUAUUGUUCAAUCAUAGCUUUGAAAAAAAUUCGACUAUGAAGAAAAAAUGCAUACGUCAUUCACAAUUUACUCAAGAAUUUACUCAUAAUUUUUCUGCAAAUAAGGUUAUUAGGUGACUAGUGGAAUGAAUUUUAAAAAAGUACAUAUUUCAAUAUGGAUGCCUUGAAUCAGUGAACAAUUGUUUUAGGAAAUAUUUGAGACCGAGCGCAAUGCGGUCGAUAGAAUCAGUGUUUAUUUCGUAAAAGUUUUUAUAUUUUUUGAAGUUUUGAAGUGUUUGAAACUCUAUUUAAAUUAUAAUAAUUUCGCGAGAUUAAAAUCAGUGUUUUUUUCGCCGAUUAUAAUAUAAACGGUCGCGUUAGGAUUAUUUUACUUAUUCUUUUUUUUUUUUUUUUAAAUAUUCGUUUCCGGUAUAUAUUCGAGUCAGUGUUUCAAAAAAAUAAAUCAAUCAUCAGUUAUGCAAAAAAAUGUUUCUCAGCCUCAAGACUUAUUUAAAAGUGGUUUUCUCGAUGACUUUCCAUGAUGAUAACAUUGAUGGCAGUUUUUUCGCAUCUAAUGGUAGUGGAAUGUACAACUCGGAUGCAGAAGCGUGGACAUUUUUGUAUAGAUUAUCUUUCGUGUAACGUUAUCAGUUCGCAAUGGAAUGGAAUAGAAUAGUAAACGCUCUCGAAAACAGAAACAAGUUCACCGCGCAAGAAGAUGCACACGAUGUAACAUUCAACAAACACCGGUAGACAAUGUUCCAAACUAUACAACAUACAUUUUGACAAGUUCCAGUUUCGCUUCGCAAGCAGCCGGAAAUUGAACACCGGCUGUGUUUCCUGUAUCCACGGCGGCGAGCCAGAUUCCGCGAUGGUAGUUUUACCGCGCUUUCAAGACAAACCCUGAGACGAUGAAACGGAUUUACACGGUUGAUUGAAGAGGAGUUAUACAGUAUCGACGUCAGCGACAAUGCUAGGCCGAAAGUUGUAGCGGGCGAUGUCGGCAAAUUGGUGAAAGGGUUGGCUUCAAACUGAAAUUGAGAGGGGUUGGACGUCGCCGGUACCCAACAUCAGAAGGGCAGAGGCGGGAUACGACGCUUCUGGGCUGUCGUGAACCCUGGGCUGGAGCCACCGGUGUACUUGGCAGAGAGUGCUUUUCAUCUCCGUAAAUGGACCGGCGGUAAAGCAAUUUUGGUACAUUACCUAUACCUGCUUUAACCCCUCCCCCGCCUUUUCUGUCAGACUUCCCGACCACCCCCAUCGUCUUUCAUCUUGCAUCAUCCGACUCUCGAUCGCGGGGAACGUUUGAUUUCGAUGGGAAACGUCGUAAAGGCAUUAAAGGGGGUGGGGGAGGUAUAGGGGUACAGGAUCGGUGGCGGUGGUGGUGGCCGCCAGACCCGUGAAACAAAGAAGCGAUUUCGCUGUUUCCAUCCACGUUGGCGCCGGCGACGGCCUUUUUGUAAAUGACCGUAAUCGCGCGCCACCCUCCCUCUUUGAGAGAAGUUAAAACCCUCUUCUCUCUCUCCCCUUCUCGCUCUUUCUAUUUCUCUCGCUCUCUGCGACGAGUGACGUUGAUCGAGCGGUUGCUCCAACUUUAGCGGAAAUUUCAACGCGGCGUCCAACAGUUUCUCAAACAAUCGAUCCGUAAUGUGGCACCGGCGGCGGCUAUUUUUAGUUGCUUCUUUCUUCCUUCUGGACCCGGCUAACUUCUUCUCUAUAAUCGUGCCGUACUUUUAACCUUUCACGUGAAGAACGCCAACGCGUCUCGUUGUGUUCCGGUUCGUCUAUCGCGAAUUUUCUAAAUAUUUCUUUUCCCUUCUCUUUUUCCUCUCUUUUCUUUUCUUUUACUUCGUUUCAAUCUACGAGUUGAUUCGUGUGUAUAAAAUUUUUACGUUCGAUCUCUUUUUCUAUCGACUAUCUAAUACGCGUGGAACAUUUAUAAAACUCGUUUAUUCUUUUAUAGAUUGAUGGAAAUAACAAAAGGAGAAGGGGAUGGAUGGUAAAUUUUCAAAGGCUGCAACAUCGAUCUUAACGAGCAUGAAAACGCGUACCGACGUUAUUUCGGGCGACCUCGCGAGAUAUCCAAUUCAAAAAUCUCGUUCGCAAUCGAAUCGUUGUUUAAAUGUCGGCGACCCUCGUUGACCCAGUUCGCUUGCCGUAGCGUUAGAUUUACCGCAGCGAGAAAAAAGGAAUGGAGAGAAGAAUAAGAGAGAGAGAGACAGAGAGAGAGAGAGAGAAAGAGAGGGAGAGGGAGAAUUGGCUCGUAGCUAGAAAGUAUCAACGUUUAAUCCAGCCUGAUUGCAUUCGGUCGUGCGACGAUUUUACGAGCGCGCUCAAAACGGCCUGGCAAACACAUUUUCCUUUUCGCGAAUUUUUUUCCUGCAAUCACGACCGAGAUGAGCAAACGUUCGUAAACGUUCGUGCAUCGUUCCCUAGUUCGCUUCUGACCUGGCAACUAAUUUUUGUCCACCAGGAGAAGAAAUCCAGCCGAAACGAAGUGCCUGGGGAGAGUUGACGAAUUUAUCGAUUCGUGUACGGGGUAAAAAUUGCACGCGUGCACACGAGAGAUUUGAAACAGGUUUGUCGGAAAUUGGAAUAUGCCUCGUGCGUAUUUAAUGAAAAUAUGAUAUUUUUAAAUCGAAUUUUUUUUACUUUUUUUCUCUCUUUUUUUUUUUUUUCGCCAUCGUAACAUGUUUUGAAACAUUUAGUGCUAAAAGCAAUGCGCGAAAUGUAAUUAAUCCUCCCAUGCGCAACAUUUUCCGAUUUUUCGUCUAUAAUAAUAUUGUUUUUUUUUUUUUAUUAUUUCAGUUUAUUCGAUUAUCGAAACUAUAAGAUCAAAAGCAUCGAUUUCGUUCAACAAUAUAUUUUAAUAUUUGAUUAUUGUCGUUGGUUCACGCGGGAGGAGAAACCAAUGAGACGCGUAAAAAUGAAAGAUUUUUUAUCGAGUCAUAACAAUCAAUUCGAUCAAUUCUAUAUCGUUUAUAUAUCGGUUAUUUAAUUAUUUAAAUUCUUUUCUGUUUAAAUUAUACGUUUAUCAACCUCGAAUUGAAAGUACGAUAAAAAUUUCUAUUUUAAAUUAAUUAAACAAGAAAACUUCUAAAUCUUCUCAAGUUAAUUAAAAAAAGAAAAACAAGUUUCUCACAUAAAUCUUUAUUUACAAAGAUUCUAUCGAUUUCAAGAACAGGCAAUCCAUACUUCCAACUAUCUCAGAAAGUGUCGCAAAAAUCAAUCGAAUAGAUGCGUAGCGAAUUCAUUUAUCACAGAGUGAAAUUUAGUUACGGAUUCUCAUCGAGGCAAAGAAAAAGACGGCUAGACACGACUAGAGACAGAGAGAGAGAGAGUAACUUUCCUCCGCGCGCUUUGCGGCCGUGAAGAAGGGGGUUGUGCCGCUUUUGUCGUGCUGCACAGACGCGUGGAAAAGAAGAGGCCGAUGGGCAGCCUCUUUAAAGAGUAAUUACGCCUACACUCGAUGUAUCCUGCGCCCCGUGAUAUUCUUCAUCGUUUUUUUUUCAGGUGAAUACGUGUUUGUUUGCCAUUGUUCCAUCCUCGAGGAGCAGCCACUUGAAGUCCCAUACGCGUCGAAUCCUUUAGAAAACUGCGACGAGAGGCGCGGGAGGAUCGAAGAGACGAGACUUCAUACGAGACUUCGGAGACAACGAGUAUCCCUUUUGCGAUUUAAGCGGUGAUGGCCGGGGUUCUUACGCCCUUUCCUUCUACGAACUCGCUCGAUUUACGCGUAUUAAAUAUAGAGGCUUUUAAAAGCGAAUCCCGCCACGAGGGGGAAAGAAGGGGAAGAAGGGAGAGGAGAGGAGAAUGGAAGGACGCGCACGCAAUCCGAGACAAUAUCCCGUUUUGGCUAAGAGGAUCGCCGUCUCGGUGGCAGUUUUAAUAAAUUUCGCCGAUUUCUACGCUCACCGUGGAUUGCAACGUCGACUAUCUACGAAUAAACGGACGGAAUCCCCGUACUUUCGGUUUAUUAUACUUCGUUAGAACCAUAACUACGAUUUUGUAAGUCGUUUUAAUAUCAUUAUUGUUCUAUACGUUUGUAACAAAAUUUUAUAUUUUAAAAAAUAAAUAAAAAUGUGAA
rnacentral:lncRNA from 11 species